GAUGAACGCUAGCGGCAGGCUUAAUACAUGCAAGUCGAGCGGCAGCAGGACUGUAGCAAUCCAGUUGCUGGCGACCGGCAAACGGGUGCGGAACACGUACGCAACCUACCCAAGACUGGGGGAUAGAACGGGGAAACCCGGAUUAAUUCCUCGUAACCUUUUUAAGUGGCAUCACUUGAUACGUAUAGCUCCGGCGGUUUUGGAUGGGCGUGCGCCUGAUUAGGUAGUGGGUGCGUGUAACGGCCCACCAAGCCUGCGAUCAGUAACUGGUGUGAGAGCACGACCAGUCACACGGGAACUGAGACACGGGCACGACGCCUACGGGAGGCAGCAGUAAGGAAGAAGCGGCAAUGGACGCAAGUCUGAACCAGCCAUGCCGCGUGAAGGAUGAAGGGUCUCGGGAGUGGAAACUUCUGUUAUGGGGGACGAAACCCGGAUACUCUUAUCCGAUUGACGGUACCUCAAGAAUAAGCACCGGCUAACUCCGUG
rnacentral:rRNA from 1 species